rnacentral:rRNA from 1 species
CCUACGUGAGGCAGCAGUGAGGAAUAUCGGUCAAUGGGCGCGAGCCUGAACCAGCCAAGUAGCGUGAAGGAUGACUGCCCUACGGGUUGUAAACUUCUUUUAUAAAGGAAUAAAGUGAGGCACGUGUGCCUUUUUGUAUGUACUUUAUGAAUAAGGAUCGGCUAACUCCGUGCCAGCAGCCGCGGUAAUACGGAGGAUCCGAGCGUUAUCCGGAUUUAUUGGGUUUAAAGGGAGCGUAGAUGGGUUGUUAAGUCAGUUGUGAAAGUUUGCGGCUCAACCGUAAAAUUGCAAUUGAUACUGGCAGUCUUGAGUACAGUUGAGGUAGGCGGAAUUCGUGGUGUAGCGGUGAAAUGCUUAGAUAUCACGAAGAACUCCGAUUGCGAAGGCAGCUUACUAAACUGCCACUGACAUUGAUGCUCGAAAGUGUGGGUAUCAAACAGGAUUAGAUACCCUUGUAGUC